AAACGAUCUUAUGCAAAAUGCGUCACGAAUAGAAUCGAAAUCUAUUGUUGCACAAAAUAUAUAAGCAGCCAGCUUCCAUAGCUAAACUAUAACCUGCACAAAAAUAUCUAAUCAACUAUGUCGCUGCACCUGCUUGUUCUGCUAUUGGCUGUUGUCUUCGGUCUAGUACAAGAUGGACAUGCUUUCGGUUCAAAAUCAAGAUAUGGAGAUCGUGGACCUUCAACUUCGGGAGGAAGGUAGAAGAUAGAUCACAACGGUGGGAUAGAUGAGGAUAGAGAUGGUGCAAUGAUCUUGUCUCUGACUAUUUUGAGUGCCAUUCUAUCUUCUUCACUGUGAGACCCGAUUAAAAUGACUUAAUGAAGAA